ensembl:piRNA 21ur-609 ncRNA
UGAAUCAGAACAAUGGUACCC